UGAAAUGUUUAAUGUGUCUUGUGAAUAC
rnacentral:piRNA from 1 species